rnacentral:rRNA from 1 species
CCUACGGGAGGCAGCAGUAGGGAAUCUUCCACAAUGGGCGCAAGCCUGAUGGAGCAACACCGCGUGAGUGAAGAAGGGUUUCGGCUCGUAAAGCUCUGUUGUUGGAGAAGAACGUGCGUGAGAGUAACUGUUCACGCAGUGACGGUAUCCAACCAGAAAGUCACGGCUAACUACGUGCCAGCAGCCGCGGUAAUACGUAGGUGGCAAGCGUUAUCCGGUUUUAUUGGGAGUAAAGCGAGCGCAGGCGGUUGCUUAGGUCUGAUGUGAAAGCCUUCGGCUUAACCGAAGAAGUGCAUCGGAAACCGGGCAACUUGAGUGCAGAAGAGGACAGUGGAACUCCAUGUGUAGCGGUGGAAUGCGUAGAUAUAUGGAAGAACACCAGUGGCGAAGGCGGCUGUCUGGUCUGCAACUGACGCUGAGGCUCGAAAGCAUGGGUAGCAAACAGGAUUAGAUACCCGGGUAGUC